CUCCAUUCCAUCUGGUGCAGAAGUUGCAUGGAUCCAAUGCAAACACUGUGGCCUGGACAUUAACAAACUCUCCCCAGUGGCAGCCUCAUAGUGUCAGUAAAUCCAUUAUGUUUCUUACAGGAAAGUAAGGGUUGUAAUGUUGUAAUGAUAGAUUAUGAUAUGAAGUGUGUGCUGUCAUUCUAUUCGUCAUUUUUUUAAGACACGAACAGGUCUUCCUUCCAAUCUUCAUCACUCUGGACCAAGGGUUGUAGAACCUGCUUUGUGAGAGUUUGUGUGAAAGGGAGGCAGAUGUUGCUAUGGAUGCGGACAGCAAAACAGUCGCCAUGCAGGCUGAGGAAAGCAAAGAAUGAACAGAGAAGGCAGUGUGCUAAAGUCUGCCUGGAAGUUGUAAGCACUGGAGACUGAUGAUCCUGCUGAUACCACAACCACCCACUGCCAUCGUGAACCCAGAAAGUGCAGUGCAAUGUUCUGCAGCACAGCUGGCUGAGCUCAGUGCAGGGCCACCAACACCACACUGAGCUCAGACAUGGUCACAACAGGAGGAGAGAUGGCAUCAUGGCAGCACAGCAACCCCUUGGAGGCAACCAUGGAGGAGAUAGUUCCUGGCUCUUCCCAGAACAGAUCUGCUCCAGUACAUUUCCUGAUGUUACUCAAGAAUGCAGCAGACCUUCUAUUCUUUAAGCUCAGCCACAAGCAGGAACUUGUCAGCAUUAUGAGUCCUCAGGUACAUCUCUUUGGUUGCACAAGCUUCUUUCUGGUGUCAUUCUGAGAAAACAACAUUCCCUUUCCCACAGUUCCCCCUUUCUGUUUACACAAUUGUCUCUUUUGAAGACACAUCAUCCCAAUCACCACCAUCUCCUACAUCUUCCCUUACAGCCUAUGCCUUGUCUGAAUAUAGUGGUAGCCCUACAGCAUCUGCUUAGAUGGGAUGGUUUUGAUUAAAUGCUGGACCAACCCUCUAACACAGGGGAUAAUACAACAGCUGGCUGCUGUCAGAACUCCUGCUAUUACAAUUAAAGAUGUAAGUACUGAUACCAGCACUCCCUUCCAUUUACUGAACCACCUAGUAAGUGAAGUAAGUGCCCAGGCUAUGGUGCAAUUUGGGGCUGUAUUAUUGGGUAUAAAGGUGAAAUAGUGAAUGCCCAUCAUUUACACAUACUUGACCCUUUUCAGCCAACAUCAUGUCUAACACUAUCCUAUUUUCCCAUGUCAUCCUACCAGUGGCACUUAAUAGUUAGGCAAUCCCUUCUAUAAUUUACGAAGCCCUGCUGAUUAUGGUAAAUAUAAUUGAUCCAGGCUACAUUCUUAUUAAUAGUUAUCUACCAAAAUAGAGAAGACUCAAACCUGGCU
rnacentral:lncRNA from 1 species